GGGGGGGGGGGGGGGGGGGGGGGGGGGGGGGGGGGGGGGGGGGGGGGGGGGGGGGGGGGGGGGGGGGGGGGACAGGGCGGCGGUGGCCAGCGCGGCCGCGGCGCAGGUGGUGGCCAGGAAAGGGGGAGCCACGCGCUGGAAGAGGGGACAGAAGUUGUUGUGGCAGGGUGCGGCGUCGUAGUCCAGGAAGGUGUAGUUGGUGUCGGUGUUGUCGUAGAAGGAGGAGAAGUUGUCCAUGAUUCCCUCCAGGUCCAGCGAGCCCGGGGUCUCCAGCGCGCCGGGGGUCUGCGGAAGGAGCCGAGGGCUGCGGGCAGGAGAUAAGAGCCGCCCCCCGGGCCGCCCUGGCAGCGGCGGAAAAACAGGGAAUGCCGCUGCCGGGAAUUUCUCCAGCAGGAAACCAUCGCGGCUCUUGGCAGGACAAACGAAAUUAAUUAGGGAUUGUCUUUGGAGCUGCUGCAUCCCGGGGAUGCUGGUGGGGUGUGAGCUUGGUGCCAGGUCCUGGAAGGGACCUCGAGGUGCCUUCCUUUGCCUCUGGAACGCGGAAUUCCCCGGUUUUUCCUCGGGGGGAAUAAAGCCUGGAAGGAAGGGCUCCCCUUGGGGUCAUCCUGUGGGAUUGGUGACCUUGAGGCUUUAUGGGAACAUCCCUGGAGAGGAGCANAGGGUGGGUGCAGACCCCCGAAGGUGGGCGCAGACCCCACAGAGCCUCCUGUGCGGCAGAACUUGCCGGCAGCACCUGCUGCGAGCCACACCCUGCUCAGCACCAGGGACCCCCAAACCCCACUCAGCACCAGGGACCCCCAAACCUCACUCAGCUUUAGGGAUCCCCCAAACCUCACUCAGCACCAGGGAUCCCCUAAACCCCACUCAGCUUUAGGGAUCCCCUAAACCCCACUCAGCUUUAGGGAUCCCCUAAACCCCACUCAGCUUUAGGGAUCCCCUAAACCCCACUCAGCUUUAGGGAUCCCCUAAACCCCACUCAGCUUUAGGGAUCCCCUAAACCCCACUCAGCUUUAGGGAUCCCCUAAACCCCACUCAGCUUUAGGGAUCCCCCC
rnacentral:lncRNA from 12 species